UCUGGCAGCUGAAGUGAACAGUCAUGAUUUUGUUGGAGCUCCAACAAUAUGCUAGAAGGUAAGUAACUAUGUUUAAUUUGCAUUGCAUGUUUUCCUAUGUUUCAGACUUUUAAACAGAGAUGUCAUGAUGACUGGAGUUGAGCACAGGGCAGUGAUAAAGUAAAAGGUAAGUACUUUUGACUGAAUGUUUGUUCUAUGCAUGUUUUGCUAUAAUACAUUCCAGGAGUGCUUAUGCAGUGAUGAUUUGACAGUUGAGUGAAAGUGGAGCCAUGCAGUCUUGAUUUUGAAGCUUCUCAACAAGCCUUGAAGGUAAGGUUAGAAUGACUCAAUGUUAGUGAAUUAUUUAAAAAAAUAUACUGUCAGUGAAGUACUGUCAGUUGCAUUUGGACAGUUGAGCAGAACAGACGUAGCUGUAAGAGCUCUCAUAUCUGUUGUGUAAAACUGUCCUAAUGAUAUGUUAUGCUUGUUUGUUUCUGUUGUACUAUUUUUCAGAUACGUUUGGCAGUGAAGGAUUGAAAGCUGACAUGAACAGAAAAAAGAUGCUGUUGGCAGUGAUGGGUUUGGAAGCUGGCAUGAACAGAAAAGCAAACAUAUGGUGAGUACAAAAUAGUUUUUAUAUGGUAUGUUUUGUGCAUGCUUCUAUGUUUCAGAUGUACUUGCAGUCAACAACGAAGAUGAUUCAAGAAGAGAAACAUUGUUGUGAUGUGAAUAGAACGUUCAAAUAGGGUAAGUGUAACAAUUGUGGUAGUUUGAUUUGUACCAUGUGUGUAUUGCUAUGUUUCAGAUUGCACAUGCAGAGAUGGUUUCCUACUGGGUGUCAAUAGAAGGGACACGAGUAAAAACGAUUUCAACUGCUAAACCACAAUUCAAGAAGUUGGGUAAGUUUUAAGUCAUUGAUUUGAGGUGUACAAUGUGUUCUUUACUUUGUUGCAGAUUCGAGUCACUGGUUUACACAUGGAAGAAGAUUUCCACCUCUGUGACACAUCUUUACAAAAGCAAGAGGGCCAGAUGUCGAGCAGUACAGAUGUGUUUCUUGGAGGGAGCUCCCAAACCGUGAGUACAAGUAUUUGAUAUUUAGAAGUCUAUGUGAAAGAUAAUAGCAAUGGUAGAAUCUAUCAGUACUUGUGUUUAGAAAUGCUGAUGUGUGACGGUUAACUGAAAAGGGUAAAUGCUAGCCAGUACUUACACCUGAGCAAACGUGGGAUGUCGAACUAACUGAUGAUGUACUAUGAUGGUGAACACUUACUUUGUGUAUCGAAAUGCUUUUGUUGAUAUGAGUGUGAGCUUAAUACAGCAAUGUUUGAGUAAUACAAAAAAUGUAUGUACUCUUUUGUGGUCGCCAGUUGUCUGUGAUAUGUAUAGUAAAAAAAACACAACACAAAGCUAUGAAGCAUACAAUUGUUUUAAGAUUUUAUCAAUGAUUGUGUACUAUGCAUGUUUUGAUUUAGUUCGUUUCAGAUAUGACAUGACCUGAAUAUUUGACAGUCGAACGGAGCUGAGCAUUGCAGAAAAGGUCUCAUAGUAGCCUCAACAGUGAAUAAGGAUAUCAACUGCUGUGACUAAACUGUUGAAGAAGGGUCUCUCAUGCAGUGAGGGAAAAGAAGAAGAUUUCAAUAAAGAAUCACUGCUGCAACUCAGCUCUUUAAACAAGGUAAGUGUUUACUAUGUUGUAUACAAAAUGUUUCUCUUUCUUACUAUGUUUCAGGUUAACAUUGCAGAGAUGUUUUGACAGCUUGUGACAGAAAAGAAAUUCAGCAGCUGUGUCUUGACUGUAGCCACAAGGUAAGUCGAAACAAAUAUACUGGUUUGUAUGUUGUGUUGUUAUGCCCUUCUAUGUUUCAGACUUACAUUGCUGUGACUGUUCCACAGUGGGUCAAAAAAAAGACGAAUACAGGUUUCAAGAAGAAAAUUGGCUGUUAAAACUCUGCACAAAAUAUGAGGUAAGUGAACUACUCUUUUGGUUUGUGUUGUGCUUUGUUCUGCUUAACUAUUUUUCAGAUUUGAGUGGUGGGUCGUUACAGAGCAGACUUUUUGACAAGUGAGAAGUUGAGAAACAGAGAAUGAUUUAAGAUCAGCUAGGUAAGUCUUGAUUAUUAUGCAUUGCUAAAUGUUGUUUUUUAUUUCAGUAUGGCUGUGGUAAGUACACUAACUUUCUAUAAUUUAAUAUUGAACUGCUUUGAUAACUUGUAUCCUGCUAUGCAAUGCUUAAUAUAUAUUUUUCAUUUCAGUAUGGCUGUGGUAAGUACACAAACUUUCUUUAAUUUUCACAUUGAACUGUUUUGAUGACUUGUAUCCUGCUAUGCAAAAUGUCUUUUUUUUAUUUCAGUAGCCUGUUGGUAAGUACGCUAACUUUCUAUAAUUUCAUAGUGAAUUGUUUUGAUGACCUGUAUUCUGCAUUGUAAAAUGUGUUUCUUUUUCAUUUCAGUAUGGCUGUGGUAAGUACAAUUGCCUUUCAUAUUGAACUGUUUUGAUGACCUGUAUUUUGCAUUGUAAAAUGUGUUUCUUUUUCAUUUCAGUAUGGCUGUGGUAAGUACACAAACUUUCUUUAAUUUUCAUAUUGAACUGUUUUGAUGACUUGUAUUCUGCUAUACAAAAUGUGUUUUUAUCAGUUCAGUUGCCUGAUGGUAAGUACAAUUUGCUUCUUUAAAUUGCAUGUUGAAAUAUAUUUGAUGACUUUUGUUCUGCUAUGCUCUUUUUCAUUUCAGUUGGGCAGAUGUAAGUACACUUCAUUUAUGUAAAAACUGAAUAUGAUUGUUGUGCUAUACAAAAUGUGCUUUUCUCAAUUUCGGGUCAGCAAUGGUAAGUAGAUUGUGUUUCUUUAUGUAUAAUUUUGUAUACAUAUUGUUUUUUUCAUCAUAGCAUGUUUUUCAUAUUUAUGCUUUGUGUAAGUAAAAUGUUCAUAAAUCAUUCUUAUCUUAAAACUAAAAAUGUAUUGUGCUAUGCAAAAUGUCUGUAUGAUUUCAGUUGCCAGAGGUGAGUACCAUUACAGUUGAAAAGUUAGUUUUGUUUAGUUCAAGUUUUGGUUCACAGUUCUGUUUGUUAUUUGGCAAAAUUUACAUGUAUGCAUUGAGUCUUGAUUUCAGCUCGAUUGUGGACUGAAGAAGAUUGUCCGCAGAGGGAUUGGAUACAAAAUACAAAGUAAGUACUGAGUUUCUUACUAAAAGUUUUGAGUUGUAUUCAUUGUGUGUUAAUAUGCUAUGAUUGCUAUGAACAUGACUUUUGUAUUUCAGCGAAGACAACAUAGGUAAGUAAAAUUGUUAUCUGUUUCAUGUUUACUGUUACAGUUCAAUAUUGUGUUUAUAAAUUGUAAGUUGUACAAACACAUUCAAAAGUUUCUGAUCAUGCUUUCGAUUUCAUUUCAGCUUUACUGCUGGACGAGUGUUCUCUACUACUAGACGUGUCAGGUUUACUACCAGGCGAGCAGUGACAACAAGGCGCCUUUGUGGAAACAACACAACAAAAAACUGUACUGCUAGACGAGCAGUGACAGAAAGGCGCCUGAACAUGCAACACAAAACAAAAAAUGCCAAUAUCCAAACCUUGAUGUGGACACCGAGUAGUCAAUACAUACGUGUGGCGUAUAGCUGCGACAAAACCGUGGGUCCAUCGCACCGAUAACUUGAACAUUGGCCCGUGUAUGGACAUCAGUGCAACUUUGUGAAUCCAUGUAACUUUGUGAAUCCAUGUAACAUUGCGAAUGUGUGUCGAUCGAAAAAUGUGUACAUUCUGCACUGAAACGAACUCGGUGUUGCAAGUGGCAAGUGUUGACAGUGUGUAUGUUUAUGUUUAUGUUUUUACAUGAAAAAUAAAGGAGAUUGUUGUUUUA